GAUGUAAUUGUCUCGGAGGCUUACUGC
rnacentral:piRNA from 1 species